CCUACGGGGGGCAGCAGUGGGGAAUAUUGGACAAUGGGGGCAACCCUGAUCCAGCCAUGCCGCGUGUGUGAAGAAGGCCCUUGGGUUGUAAAGCACUUUCAGUGAGGAAGAACGCCUGGUGGUUAAUACCCAUCAGGAAAGACAUCACUCACAGAAGAAGCACCGGCUAACUCCGUGCCAGCAGCCGCGGUAAUACGGAGGGUGCGAGCGUUAAUCGGAAUUACUGGGCGUAAAGCGCGCGUAGGUGGCUUGAUAAGCCGGUUGUGAAAGCCCCGGGCUCAACCUGGGAACGGCAUCCGGAACUGUCAAGCUAGAGUGCAGGAGAGGAAGGUAGAAUUCCCGGUGUAGCGGUGAAAUGCGUAGAGAUCGGGAGGAAUACCAGUGGCGAAGGCGGCCUUCUGGACUGACACUGACACUGAGGUGCGAAAGCGUGGGUAGCAAACAGGAUUAGAUACCCGGGUAGUC
rnacentral:rRNA from 1 species